CUCCAAUAUGUUACCUCCCCCACACAUGCAGACAAACAGAUACACAUACAUACAGGCACGCAUAUAAAGACACACACACAUACAUACAAACACACACAUACAUACAGACACACAGACAUACAGACAGACACACAUACAUACACACUGACAUACAAACACACAUACACCUACAUAGAAACAUAUAAUGUGACGGCAGAUAAGAACCAUUCGGCC